rnacentral:rRNA from 1 species
CUCGGCAACGGAUAUCUCGGCUCUCGCAUCGAUGAAGAACGUAGCGAAAUGCGAUACUUGGUGUGAAUUGCAGAAUCCCGUGAACCAUCGAGUCUUUGAACGCAAGUUGCGCCCGACGGCAUUCGGCUGAGGGCACGUCUGCCUGGGUGUCACGG